AUUGAACGCUGGCGGCAGGCCUAACACAUGCAAGUCGAACGAGUGGCGGACGGGUGAGUAAUAUCUGGGAAACUGCCUGAUGGAGGGGGAUAACUACUGGAAACGGUAGCUAAUACCGCAUACCAUCAGAUGUGCCCAGAUGGGAUGAGCUUGGUGGGGGGGUAACGGCGCACCAAGGCGACGAUCCCUAGCUGGUCUGAGCGGAUGACCCGCCACACUGGAACUGAGACACGGGCCAGACGCGUACGGGAGGAAGAAGUGGGGAAUAUUGCACAAUGGGCGCAAGCCUGAUGCAGCCAUGCCGCGUGUAUGAAGAAGGCACUCGGGUUGUAAAGUACUUUCAGCGGGGAGGCGUUACCUGCAGAAGAAGCACCGGCUAACUCCGUGCCAGCAGCCGCGGUAAUUC
rnacentral:rRNA from 1 species